rnacentral:rRNA from 2 species
CUUUUACAAUGAAGAGUUUGAUCCUGGCUCAGGAUGAACGCUAGCUACAGGCUUAACACAUGCAAGUCGAGGGGCAUCAGGAAGAAAGCUUGCUUUCUUUGCUGGCGACCGGCGCACGGGUGAGUAACACGUAUCCAACCUGCCCUUUACUCGGGGAUAGCCUUUCGAAAGAAAGAUUAAUACCCGAUAGCAUAAUGAUUCCGCAUGGUUUCAUUAUUAAAGGAUUCCGGUAAAGGAUGGGGAUGCGUUCCAUUAGGUUGUUGGUGAGGUAACGGCUCACCAAGCCUUCGAUGGAUAGGGGUUCUGAGAGGAAGGUCCCCCACAUUGGAACUGAGACACGGUCCAAACUCCUACGGGAGGCAGCAGUGAGGAAUAUUGGUCAAUGGGCGCUAGCCUGAACCAGCCAAGUAGCGUGAAGGAUGAAGGCUCUAUGGGUCGUAAACUUCUUUUAUAUAAGAAUAAAGUGCAGUAUGUAUACUGUUUUGUAUGUAUUAUAUGAAUAAGGAUCGGCUAACUCCGUGCCAGCAGCCGCGGUAAUACGGAGGAUCCGAGCGUUAUCCGGAUUUAUUGGGUUUAAAGGGAGCGUAGGUGGACUGGUAAGUCAGUUGUGAAAGUUUGCGGCUCAACCGUAAAAUUGCAGUUGAUACUGUCAGUCUUGAGUACAGUAGAGGUGGGCGGAAUUCGUGGUGUAGCGGUGAAAUGCUUAGAUAUCACGAAGAACUCCGAUUGCGAAGGCAGCUCACUGGACUGCAACUGACACUGAUGCUCGAAAGUGUGGGUAUCAAACAGGAUUAGAUACCCUGGUAGUCCACACAGUAAACGAUGAAUACUCGCUGUUUGCGAUAUACAGUAAGCGGCCAAGCGAAAGCAUUAAGUAUUCCACCUGGGGAGUACGCCGGCAACGGUGAAACUCAAAGGAAUUGACGGGGGCCCGCACAAGCGGAGGAACAUGUGGUUUAAUUCGAUGAUACGCGAGGAACCUUACCCGGGCUUAAAUUGCAGUGGAAUGAUGUGGAAACAUGUCAGUGAGCAAUCACCGCUGUGAAGGUGCUGCAUGGUUGUCGUCAGCUCGUGCCGUGAGGUGUCGGCUUAAGUGCCAUAACGAGCGCAACCCUUAUCUUUAGUUACUAACAGGUCAUGCUGAGGACUCUAGAGAGACUGCCGUCGUAAGAUGUGAGGAAGGUGGGGAUGACGUCAAAUCAGCACGGCCCUUACGUCCGGGGCUACACACGUGUUACAAUGGGGGGUACAGAAGGCAGCUAGCGGGUGACCGUAUGCUAAUCCCAAAAUCCUCUCUCAGUUCGGAUCGAAGUCUGCAACCCGACUUCGUGAAGCUGGAUUCGCUAGUAAUCGCGCAUCAGCCACGGCGCGGUGAAUACGUUCCCGGGCCUUGUACACACCGCCCGUCAAGCCAUGGGAGCCGGGGGUACCUGAAGUACGUAACCGCAAGGAUCGUCCUAGGGUAAAACUGGUGACUGGGGCUAAGUCGUAACAAGGUAGCCGUACCGGAAGGUGCGGCUGGAACACCUCCUUUCU